CCCAAACACAUAGAUUCCUCCAAAAGUAAUUACAUGCUGAUGAUGACUGUGCUAGAAACAUUUUACUCUACAGAGCUUCUGCAAGGACAUAAUUCUUUACAUAUAAAUAUGAACAGCUCUGGAUUUUUGUAGCACUGAAAGUUUUAACCCUGUAUUAAUAAACCUCUCAAACUCUUGCAUGUUCUUCAUCCCACACACUAAAUGUUUCCACCUACCUAUAAUGUUUAAAAAUUAUUCUUCAUGUAUGGAAUUGGUUUUAUCAUUCUAAUCAAGAAGUCUGAAGUAAGAAGUAUAUUCAUCUUAG